CUGGUGUCAGCCGCCGCGGUAAUAUCAGCACCUCGAGUGGUCAGGACGUUUAUUGGGCCUAAAGCAUCCGUAGCCGGCUCUGCAAGUCUUCGGUUAAAUCCACCUGCUCAACAGAUGGGCUGCUGGAGAUACUACAGAGCUAGGGAGUGGGAGAGGCAGACGGUAUUCAGUGGGUAGGGGUAAAAUCCUCUGAUCCAUUGAGGACCACCAGUGGCGAAGGCGGUCUGCCAGAACACGUUCGACGGUGAGGGAUGAAAGCUGGGGGAGCAAACCGGAUUAGAUACCCGGGUAGUCCCAGCUGUAAACGAUGCAAACUCGGUGAUGCAUUGGCUUAUGGCCAAUGCAGUGCCGCAGGGAAGCCGUUAAGUUUGCCGCCUGGGAAGUACGGACGCAAGUCUGAAACUUAAAG
rnacentral:rRNA from 2 species